rnacentral:rRNA from 1 species
UACGAAGGGGGCUAGCGUUGCUCGGAAUCACUGGGCGUAAAGCGCACGUAGGCGGACUCUUAAGUCGGUGGUGAAAUCCUGGAGCUCAACUCCAGAACUGCCUUCGAUACUGGGAGUCUCGAGUCCGAGAGAGGUGAGUGGAACUGCGAGUGUAGAGGUGAAAUUCGUAGAUAUUGGGAAGGAACACCAGUGGCGAAGGCGGCUCACUGGCCC